rnacentral:lncRNA from 1 species
AAUUCUUCACCGACGCCACAUGUUUGUAAAUUUGUCUUAAUGACACUAUCUUCCUUCCAUUGUCACCCUCUUUCUUAGACUGUAAUAACCCAAUGCCACACAACACCUUUCUCAUUCUCUUUCUUUAUCUCUUCCACCUUCAAAUUCUCCUCCACUCUCUCAUCUUCCACUUCCGCCACUCACCCCCCUCUCCCCUCGACUUCUCCUCCUCCCAACUCCUCAACCUCCUCCGCU